ACUCCUACGGGAGGCAGCAGCAGGGAAUAUUGCNCAAUGGGCGAAAGCCUGAUGCAGCNACGCCGCGUGNGGGAUGAAUGCNUUAGGGUUGUAAACCGCUUUCAGGAGGGAAGAAAAUGACGGUACCCCCAGAANAAGNNCCGGCUAACUAC
rnacentral:rRNA from 1 species